GGGGCUCAUUGCGGCGGCCUUACACAUGCAAGUCGAGCGGAGAUGAGGUGCUUGCACCUUAUCUUAGCGGCGGACGGGUGAGUAAUGCUUAGGAAUCUGCCUAUUAGUGGGGGACAACAUUCCGAAAGGAAUGCUAAUACCGCAUACGUCCUACGGGAGAAAGCAGGGGAUCUUCGGACCUUGCGCUAAUAGAUGAGCCUAAGUCGGAUUAGCUAGUUGGUGGGGUAAAGGCCUACCAAGGCGACGAUCUGUAGCGGGUCUGAGAGGAUGAUCCGCCACACUGGGACUGAGACACGGCCCAGACUCCUACGGGAGGCAGCAGUGGGGAAUAUUGGACAAUGGGGGGAACCCUGAUCCAGCCAUGCCGCGUGUGUGAAGAAGGCCUUAUGGUUGUAAAGCACUUUAAGCGAGGAGGAGGCUACUGAGACUAAUACUCUUGGAUAGUGGACGUUACUCGCAGAAUAAGCACCGGCUAACUCUGUGCCAGCAGCCGCGGUAAUACAGAGGGUGCGAGCGUUAAUCGGAUUUACUGGGCGUAAAGCGUGCGUAGGCGGCUUUUUAAGUCGGAUGUGAAAUCCCCGAGCUUAACUUGGGAAUUGCAUUCGAUACUGGGAAGCUAGAGUAUGGGAGAGGAUGGUAGAAUUCCAGGUGUAGCGGUGAAAUGCGUAGAGAUCUGGAGGAAUACCGAUGGCGAAGGCAGCCAUCUGGCCUAAUACUGACGCUGAGGUACGAAAGCAUGGGGGAGCAAACAGGAUUAGAUACCCUGGUAGUCCAUGCCGUAAACGAUGUCUACUAGCCGUUGGGGCCUUUGAGGCUUUAGUGGCGCAGCUAACGCGAUAAGUAGACCGCCUGGGGGAGUACGGUCGCAAGACUAAAACUCAAAUGAAUUGACGGGGGCCCGCACAAGCGGUGGAGCAUGUGGGUUUAAUUCGAUGCAACGCGAAGAACCCUUAA
rnacentral:rRNA from 1 species